UUUGUAUAACUGUGAUCUUCUUUCACUAGUAUUGUGACGUCAUGGACUUUCAGUCGCGGAGCGUCACGCCUUGCCCGGAAGCCGCGCCGGCCGGAUGUCGAGAUUGUGGCCCCCGGCCCCUGAUUCCUUCCGGUGGAUCCCGAUGGUCGCGCACCACGUAAGUAACGGGAGUCGA